rnacentral:misc_RNA from 1 species
UUGACUCAUUUGUACAAGUUCUCAGAGAGGCCAGUGUGAGACAAGAGUUUUGAUGUCGUCCGGCGGGCCGCCCCUCCACAGACGGGGGGAGCCGGCACGCCGAAGCAACGGUACGAGGUAACGUUCACAAUGGUGUGGGAGUUUUGCAACUCUGUAAUGAUCCCUCCGCUGGUUCACCAACGGAGA